AUGGCCAAGUCUAGUCACAUGAACUUUGUUCUUGUUUUAUCAUUUCUUCUCAUUAUCACGUUCAUCGUCGAAACUCGACCAACACCAACAGCUGGAACCCCAAUAUGCAGCACAAUUCAUGCUGUGCAGGUAGGAGAAACUUGUUUCACUCUCAUUCAGAAGUUUGCUCUAGAACAACCAUUGUUCUUGAGGCUCAAUCCCAACAUCAAUUGUUAUAGCAUCUUUGUGGGUCAAUGGGUGUGUGUGAAUGGCAGGGUAAUUCAUGAGAUGCACCAUGGUCCACAAAGAUACAGGCCCUGUUGA